UCAUUUGGAGCUUGAACAUGAGAAAGAGCAGAAUUUGGGGAUGGCUAACCUUAUAGGGUUCAUUAUCGACCCUAAACUUGAGAGUAGAGAAGUGCUUUCACGGUCAUCUCUUCUCACAGAACUGGUUGCAAAAGGUGUAAUGACCUGUGUGACUCAAGAAGUAAAAGAUCUUUACCAUCUUUUGGAGCAUGAGUUUCUCCCUCUAGAUCUUGCAU